GAUGAACGCUGGCGGCGUGCCUAAUACAUGCGAGUCGAGCGAACAGAUGAGGAGCUUGCUCCUCUGACGUUAGCGGCGGACGGGUGAGUAACACGUGGAUAACCUACCUAUAAGACUGGGAUAACUUCGGGAAACCGGAGCUAAUACCGGAUAAUAUAUUGAACCGCAUGGUUCAAUAGUGAAAGACGGUUUUGCUGUCACUUAUAGAUGGAUCCGCGCCGCAUUAGCUAGUUGGUAAGGUAACGGCUUACCAAGGCAACGAUGCGUAGCCGACCUGAGAGGGUGAUCGGCCACACUGGAACUGAGGCACGGUCCAGACUCCUACGGGAGGCAGCAGUAGGGAAUCUUCCGCAAUGGGCGAAAGCCUGACGGAGCAACGCCGCGUGAGUGAUGAAGGUCUUCGGAUCGUAAAACUCUGUUAUUAGGGAAGAACAAAUGUGUAAGUAACUAUGCACGUCUUGACGGUACCUAAUCAGAAAGCCACGGCUAACUACGUG
rnacentral:rRNA from 1 species